ensembl:lncRNA
AAGCCUGUUUCAGACAGGAAUGGCCCCUACACAGACAGCUCUGCGCCGGAGGCUCAUUCACGGCAGAUGUGAGGGGAAUCUUCUGAGGUGAGAGACUGGAAGUGAUGGCUGCAGUGCGGUAACCUUCAGGAAGGGGAGAGACGUCUCAGACAGGACGCAGGACACGAGGAGAUGUCUGGAGAGAGUGCGCCUCCUGCUGGAGAAGGGUAGGAUGCAGGCUGCGUUUGCCAUUUUGGAAAAUCCACGAGAAUUCACAAAGAGCUCAACUCUCAUUCUUCCCUUUCUCUUUGAGAUCUCACAGAUCAGCUGUUCUUCUGGAGUAGUGCACACUCUUCACAGACAGACUGGCUCAUCCCCAUCUGAUCCUCUGAUGUGCCUCAGGCACAAGACUCAGGCCACUUAAGACCUGAACUUUAGGUUUUAAAUCAGUUCGCAAGUCUUAAAAGCUCCUCAGUACUACUAAUAUUGUGGUAUUGACACAAUAAGGGAGUGAUUUGAUUGUCCAGUUGUCUUCUCUUAAGGGGAGUAAUUUCCAAGGACUAUGCUGUUAUUAGAAGAAGAGUAGUUUGGAGAAAGUGUGUUGACUGCACUGCCCUCUACUGACUGCAGGAUCACAGCACAGCCACAUUACAUGCAUGCAGAUCUCUGCUGAAAUUUAACAGUUUCAAGUUUCAAGUUUCAUUUAUUUCAGGAAUAUAUGGCCUCUCGGCCCAUAGUUCCACAAAUGUCAUAUGGCAGAUAGUCUCUUUUUCGUUCCUUGAUAUAUAUACAGUGCUAAUUGCCAUGCAUUCUCAGAAUCACAAAUCCUUGACACAUCUCUGUAGACAUCACCUACAAGGACAAGUUCACUAAAAUAUUUAUUGCGUAAAUCUCUAUACAAAGGACAAACAUACAAAAAGUGCAUCUCAUCUUCAAUCACAGAAAUAUUUGUUAAAUUACAAUAAUGACAGAUUCUUUCUGCAACUGGUGUAUUACUCCAUCUACCCGUUUCUAUAGCUAACUGAUGGCUUGAACAUCUGAACAAGAAUAAUGAUCGUACCAGUUGCCUAUUAUACACAGACGUAAUGUAGCUCUCUUGUAUUAACAAAGACUUGCAUUGUGAGUAUAUGUUUAGUUUGUUAUUUUCUAAAACUGAUGCAUACCAUGCCUCAUGUGCUUUUUCUUUCAAUCUUUGAUUUAGAACAGCUGUAAAUGUUCUUAUAUCACCUACACUUUGAGCCUCCCAAGUAGCUGAAAAGCCAUAAAAAUUCAAUAAAACUCUAAUAUUCGUAACCCA